rnacentral:tRNA from 1 species
GGGGGUGGUUGGGCUCUGGUGUGCCUCCUGGACUUCAAAUCCAGUGUGUGGUGAACUCCACGGGUAGGUUCGAUUCCUAUGCGCCCCCGCCA